AUUGAACGCUGGCGGCAGGCCUAACACAUGCAAGUCGAGCGGAUGAAGGGAGCUUGCUCCUGGAUUCAGCGGCGGACGGGUGAGUAAUGCCUAGGAAUCUGCCUGGUAGUGGGGGAUAACGUCCGGAAACGGGCGCUAAUACCGCAUACGCCCUGAGGGAGAAAGUGGGGGAUCUUCGGACCUCACGCUAUCAGAUGAGCCUAGGUCGGAUUAGCUAGUUGGUGGGGUAAAGGCCUACCAAGGCGACGAUCCGUAACUGGUCUGAGAGGAUGAUCAGUCACACUGGAACUGAGACACGGUCCAGACUCCUACGGGAGGCAGCAGUGGGGAAUAUUGGACAAUGGGCGAAAGCCUGAUCCAGCCAUGCCGCGUGUGUGAAGAAGGUCUUCGGAUUGUAAAGCACUUUAAGUUGGGAGGAAGGGCAGUAAGUUAAUACCUUGCUGUUUUGACGUUGCCAACAGAAUAAGCACCGGCUAACUUCGUG
rnacentral:rRNA from 1 species